rnacentral:sRNA from 1 species
GGAGGGGUUUCUGCCAGCACCCUGACUGUGUGCCUGGCCGCCUACUCACUUUUUGCUUCCCUUGCCUCUGCAUCUAAGCUGGGCAUGGCUCUCAGUGCCUGCGUGCAGGGGUGGCAUACAGCUGAUGCUGCGAAUGAGCCUGGGGUAGCCCAUGGCUUCCUGGGAGAAGAAGCGCCAUAGAUCUCCCGUCAUAGGGAGGAAAGUCCUCUGCAUCUGUGCCAUUAAAGGAGAAAGCAAAUAGCAAGGGAUGUCCCCCUGGGAAAUGGAAGCAUGGGGACUGAGUACCAGUUGAAGUGGAUGGUGAUCCCCACUUUGUUGUGGAUUUCCCCCUGAGCAAACUCACCGUGUGCUUCAACAUUGAUGGGCAGCCUGGGGACAUCCUCAGGCUGGUCUCUGAUCACAUGGACUCUGGUGUGACAGUGAACGGAGAGUUAAUUGGGGCACCCGCCCCUCCAAACGGUCACAAGAAACAGCGCACUUACUUCCGCACUAUCACCAUCCUUAUCAACAAGCCAGAGAGAUCUUAUCUCGAGAUCACACCGAGCAGAGUCAUCUUGGAUGGUGGGGACAGGCUGGUGCUCCCCUGCAACCAGAGUGUGGUGGUGGGGAGCCGGGGGCUGGAGGUAUCCGUGUCUGCCAACGCCAAUGUCACCGUCACCAUCCAGGGCUCCAUAGCCUUUGUCAUCCUCAUCCACCUCUACAAAAAGCCAGCACCCUUCCAGCGACACCACCUGGGUUUCUACAUUGCCAACAGCGAAGGCCUUUCCAGCAACUGCCACGGA